rnacentral:rRNA from 1 species
AUUGAACGCUGGCGGCAGGCUUAACACAUGCAAGUCGAGCGGGGUGAUGGUGCUUGCACUAUCACUUAGCGGCGGACGGGUGAGUAAUGCUUAGGAAUCUGCCUAUUAGUGGGGGACAACAUCUCGAAAGGGAUGCUAAUGCCGCAUACGUCCUACGGGAGAAAGCAGGGGAUCACUUGUGACCUUGCGCUAAUAGAUGAGCCUAAGUCGGAUUAGCUAGUUGGUGGGGUAAAGGCCUACCAAGGCGACGAUCUGUAGCGGGUCUGAGAGGAUGAUCCGCCACACUGGGACUGAGAAACGGCCCAGACUCCUACGGGAGGCAGCAGUGGGGAAUAUUGGACAAUGGGGGGAACCCUGAUCCAGCCAUGCCGCGUGUGUGAAGAAGGCCUUAUGGUUGUAAAGCACUUUAAGCGAGGAGGAGGCUCUUUUGGUUAAUACCCAAGAUGAGUGGACGUUACUCGCAGAAUAAGCACCGGCUAACUCUGUGCCAGCCGCCGCAGUAA